rnacentral:rRNA from 1 species
AUGUUGAGCGCACGCUUGAUCUUCCAGACGGCGGCCAGCGGCGCAGCCCCGCGCCUGGCGAUGAUCCCGGCGGCGGCGUCGAACGCGGUGGCCAGCCUCGGCGCGGGCAAUGCCGGGUCGAGGCAUCCCGGGUCAACGCCCAGCGAGACACGGCAGAUGACGUCGAAUGCGAACCGGCGGAGGACAUCCUGCAUGUCCACGGCGCCGCCGCCCGGCUCAGCGGCCGCUUCCAUCGCCGGCACGAGGCGGUCGAGCGCCUCCGCCUCGAGCACGGCAAUCUCCAGCUCACGGAGCGUGCGCGCCGAGAACUCGUGGCUGACCAGCUUCCGCUGGGCGAACCACUUGUCGCCGUCGACGUUGAAGAUGCCAUUGCCGAGCAGGUCGCCGAGCACGUCGGUGAAGGGCUUCCCCUUGGGGAAGUUGCCGAAGUUGCCCAGGAGGAUGUACUCGACGUUGGCCGGGUUCGCGGUCACCACGGUCCGGCGCGCACCCAGGCGGUCAACGACGAUCGUCUGGGUGGGCGAGGCCGCCAGCAUCUCGGUGUACCAGUCGAGGAGCCGCCGCCGGUUCUCGUAG